CGGAGAAGGCGCCUGAGAACCUUUUACCACAUCCAAGGAAGGCAGCAGGCGCGCAAAUUACCCAAUCCCAACACGGGGAGGUAGUGACAAUAUGUAACAAUAUACGGCCUUAUACGUCGUAUAAUUGGAAUGAGUACAAUUUAAAUCCCUUAACGAGGAACAAUUGGAGGGCAAGUCUGGUGCCAGCAGCCGCGGUAAUUCCAGCUCCAAUAGCGUAUAUUAAAGUUGUUGCAGUUAAAAAGCUCGUAGUUGGACCUUGGACCUGGACAGGCGGUCCGCCUCACGGCGAGUACUGUCUUGCUGGGUCUUUCCUCUUGGUGAUCUGUUGUUUCGGCAGCAGGGAACCAGGACCUUUACUUUGAAAAAAUUAGAGUGUUCAAAGCAGGCUCGACGCCGGAAUAUAUUAGCAUGGAAUAAUAAAAUAGGACGUGCGGUUCUAUUUUGUUGGUUUUUGGAAUCGCCGUAAUGAUUAAUAGGGACAGUCGGGGGCAUUAGUACUCACAUGCUACAGGUGACAUUCUUGGAUUUUGUGAAGACUAACUUCUGCGAAAGCAUUUGCCACGGAUGUUUUCAUUAAUCCAGAACGAACGUUAGGGCAUCGAAAACGAUUAAGAUACCGUUGUAGCCUUACCAGUAAACUAUGCCGACUAGGGAUCGGACGAUGUUAUCUUUUUUGACUCCAUCGGCACCU
rnacentral:rRNA from 1 species